UCUGACUGUGUCUCAGCUCACAGGGCUUCCAGGAUCAUGGCCUAUAAAAUACUUCAAGUAGCCCUGUGUUCAACAUUGCUUAUCGGAGCAUUGGGAGCGCCAUUUUUGUUGGAGGACCCUGCAAACCAGUUCCUACGUCUCAAAAGACAUGUAAAUUUGCAGGAUUACUGGGACCCAGAUCACAGUUCAGAUGUGUGGGGAAACACACUGGCUAAGCAGGUAUUUGUAUUAGAAACAAAUGGUCCUUCACCAUUUAUCUUUUUAAAUAGUCAUUGCAUUAGCUGACCACUAAUUAACACAUGACUAGCCUAGCCCUGAUUUUUCCUCUCUAGACACUCUGAACUAUAUCUGCUUUUUCUUCCCCAUGAAGUGGUUUUUGCCUGGUAAACUCUGCCUCUUGCUUAAAGACUAGACUCAAAUGUCCCUCUGAAGCCUUUCCCUUCUUCUCAGGGCAACAUUUGUCUUUCCUUCUCUCCCUUUUUGCUUGCUCUUUCACAAGUAAAUAGCUCUCAAAAUGCCAAUUGGAAUUACUUGUUUUGUGUACCCAACCUACCUACCUAGACUAUAAAGGUAGGGUCUGUAUCUUAUCCUUCAAGGUAAUUAUUCUCGGGAACUGGCAAAAUGAUUGUUAUAUAGUCAAAGCUUAAUAAAUUAUUACAUGUAUGUGUAGAUUGAUGAAUAGAUAGUGGUCGGACUUUAGUUCACUUUCAGUUGUUCAGUAGCUAAAUAUCCCCUGUGAUAAUUAUUCAAGGCUUUAAUGUUGUUCCUCCUUUUGCUUGCCUUUUGUACAUUUUCCUAUUCAUUUGCAUUCUCGCUGCAAAAGAAACAAAGAAUAAACUUGCAUUGGCCUUUUUUAUUCUAUGUUUGCUUUUCUGAUAGAAGACGACAUUAAAACUCCAGGCCAAAUGAAAUUGCUGAAUUAUCUGAGGAUUUCAAUUAUUCAUGAUCUCCCACUUACAAUUCAGCAAGUUAGGAAACAAAGUUGUAUAAUGAAUGAAUUAAUUCCUUCACUUAUUUUUUCUUUCUUUCCACAUAUCUCAGGAUCUGAUUAUUAUCAGGCAUGAGGAUUGUAUAAAGUCAUAAAAAGUUGAAUGUCCUUGUUUUCAUGGGGCCUUGAUCCUGUCCUUACUCCACAUGACUGGGUCUUAACCGGUCUACCAGGAUCUGCUUGUUUUGCACUUGCUGAUGAAAACUACUAACUGAAUAAUGCAUCUAGUUUUAUGGCUGUUUUUGUCCAAUAGGCAUUAUUUAGCAUUAUUAAAACAAGACAUUUGUUUAUUUGGUCAAUUAAGUAAUUAAGUAGGCUGGUAGACUGUGUCUUCUUUAUAGAAUGUUGACAUUUUCAGGUACACUCCUGCCUCUACUUGUAGACCAGAUUUGUACCAACUGACAGACACUAUGUAAUGUAGCAAGACUCUGCUACAUUGGUUUAUACUGUGGCCCCGCAAAUACUGUAAAAUAUCUGAGUACUGAAAUAAACAGAUAAUUAAAAGUAUGAAAACCAAAGUCUAUUUGGUAUAAUUCUUCCAUUAUAUUUUUCUCAUCUUUUAGGAAUAUCUGUAUGAUAAUCAGAAUAACUGAUGCAAGAUGUGUUCUACACACUCAGAGAUCAUGACUUGUGUUUCCUUUUCUUGCAGGCUCAUGAAACAUGGAUUGCUUUGAAAACAACAGCACAGUAUUAUUUGGAUAUGAAUACCUUCACCUUUGACAUGUCUACUGCCCAGUAAAUAUGUUUUCCUGGUUAAAGCAGGAGGAUGAAGAUGGCACAAGUUGGAAUGGCAUUGUGCCCAAACCAUGGGUUUUAGAGAUCUGAGGGUAUAUCCAUGCUGUUUACUACAUUAUUUAUUAUGUCUGUCUCAAAGUUGUUGAAAAGAGUAGUUAUGAAAACCCAUGUAGAAACUUGGAAUAAGACAUUCUCAAUAAAUGGUAGUUCUCAAAAAAAGAACUAAAAAAAAAAA
rnacentral:sRNA from 1 species